rnacentral:rRNA from 1 species
GACGAACGCUGGCGGCGUGCUUAACACAUGCAAGUCGAACGGAAAGGUCCUGCUUUUGUGGGGUGCUCGAGUGGCGAACGGGUGAGUAACACGUGAGUAACCUGCCAUUGACUUUGGGAUAACUUCAGGAAACUGGGGCUAAUACCGGAUAGGAGCUCCUGCUGCAUGGUGGGGGUUGGAAAGUUUCGGCGGUUGGGGAUGGACUCGCGGCUUAUCAGCUUGUUGGUGGGGUAGUGGCUUACCAAGGCUUUGAAGGGUAGCCGGCCUGAGAGGGUGACCGGCCACAUUGGGACUGAGAUGCGGCCCAGACUCCUACGGGAGGCAGCAGUGGGGUAUAUUGCACAAUGGGCUGAAGCCUGAUGCAGCAACGCCGCGUGCGGGAUGACGGCCUUCGGGUUGUAAACCGCUUUCGCCUGUGACGAAGCGUGAGUGACGGUAAUGGGUAAAGAAGCACCGGCUAACUACGUG